rnacentral:rRNA from 1 species
AACGAACGCUGGCGGCAGGCCCUAACACAUGCAAGUCGAGCGCUCUCUUCGGAGGGAGCGGCGGACGGGUGAGUAACGCGUGGGAAUAUGCCCUUCACUGCGGAAUAGCCACUGGAAACGGUGAGUAAUACCGCAUACGCCCUUCGGGGGAAAGAUUUAUCGGUGAAGGAUUAGCCCGCGUCUGAUUAGGUAGUUGGUGAGGUAACGGCUCACCAAGCCUACGAUCAGUAGCUGGUUUUAGAGGAUGAUCAGCCACACUGGGACUGAGACACGGCCCAGACUCCUACGGGAGGCAGCAGUGGGGAAUCUUAGACAAUGGGCGCAAGCCUGAUCUAGCCAUGCCGCGUGAGUGAUGAAGGCCUUAGGGUCGUAAAGCUCUUUCGCCAGGGAUGAUAAUGACAGUACCUGGUAAAGAAACCCCGGCUAACUCCGUG